AAUACCUGAUGGUAUGAUGAGAUUGCAUGAUAGCAUCAUUAAAGAUUUAUCGGUGUACGAUGGGGAUGCGUUCCAUUAGGUAGUAGGCGGGGUAACGGCCCACCUAGCCAACGAUGGAUAGGGGUUCUGAGAGGAAGGUCCCCCACAUUGGAACUGAGACACGGUCCAAACUCCUACGGGAGGCAGCAGUGAGGAAUAUUGGUCAAUGGACGAGAGUCUGAACCAGCCAAGUAGCGUGAAGGAUGAAGGUCCUACGGAUUGUAAACUUCUUUUAUAAGGGAAUAAACCCUCCCACGUGUGGGAGCUUGUAUGUACCUUAUGAAUAAGCAUCGGCUAACUCCGUGCCAGCAGCCGCGGUAAUACGGAGGAUGCGAGCGUUAUCCGGAUUUAUUGGGUUUGAAGGGAGCGCAGACGGGUCGUUAAGUCAGCUGUGAAUGUUUGGGGCUCAACCUUAAAAUUGCAGUUGAUACUGGCGUCCUUGAGUGCGGUUGAGGUGUGCGGAAUUCGUGGUGUAGCGGUGAAAUGCUUAGAUAUCACGAAGAACUCCGAUUGCGAAGGCAGCACACUAAUCCGUAACUGACGUUCAUGCUCGAAAGUGUGGGUAUCAAACAGGAUUAGAUACCC
rnacentral:rRNA from 1 species